GGCUGCGCGGAAGGGUUUGUGGGAAAUGUGUAGCGACAGGCUUCGCAGAAGGGGCUUCGUUCCAUCGCCAUCUUUGCGGUGGGUUCUGCGGAAGCUGAAUGAAUGGUCCUGCACAUUGUUUACUUUUUUAAGCCCUGGGCUUUUCAAGCCGAUCUUCCUCACUACCAUUACACUGAAAAAGAGCCCUUGAAAGUUUUGCUCCGAUCUUGCAUAUUUUUUUGGAAGUAAAUUGGAAUUGAACAGCUUGGACUUGGAGACAGUGAGUUAAAACAGAAAUAAGAAGGCGGCAGAAAAAGAUUAUACCAGAUUGAAAUGUGUUGGAUAUUCAUAUCUACCCAGCACCUCAGAAUGUGGCCAUGGAAGACGGAGGCAGAGAUUGAAGUGUCACAUCGUCAAGCCUAGGAACACUAAGGAUUGCUGGUAGUCACCAGAAGCUGGAAGAGGCAAGAAAAAUGUCCUUUCCUAGAGCUUUCAGAGAAAGUGCCAUCCUGCCAACACCUUGAUUAUAUGCUUCAAGCUUCUAGAAUUGUGAGAGAAUAAAUUUUGUUGUGAUAA